ensembl:lncRNA
AUGGUUCCAGCAGAUGUUAUCACUGUGAAGGUCACAUGUUCCCCGUCCUGUGUGUUGGAUUAUUAUCUGAUGGAUGGAAAAAGACAUGAUGGAGCUAAUCAACACACACAGACGGACGAGUCUCCACUUCAGACAACCAUCAAAUCCACAGCAGUGGAGGGACGGUCCAAACAGGUGAAGAGCGAUGAGGUGCUUUUCCAGCCUGCUUUCCCUUCACUGCACCUUAUCAAACCAUAUCCCUGCUACGACGACCCGCCUGUUCUUCUUUCCUACUGUGAUGAAGGUGAAAUCAAACGAACUAACUCUCGAUAAAAACCCUGAUACUUGGAGCUAUGAGACGCCUUUCUAUUACAAGACGACAUCCUGACUGAUAUUUGCACAGAGCAAACCUACAGCAGAGACUCUGAGGUACGACAAACAUUACUUGAAUCAUCACGCCACAUGUCUGCUGGUUAGCAGAGUCCUUCAUAUACUCACUAGAUGUUCUUUGGGAGACAUUUCCUCUUGCUGUAGAGAAACUUGUAAGUCCUGUCUGUACAUUACAUAAUCAUAUUCAAACCAAAACAUAUUUUUGCAUGCUUGGAAAGUAGAGCAUGGAAACAGAAGUGUGACUUUUGUGUUGACGGCUCAACCCAGCACUGCUAAACAACUCAUCAGUAUCAAGCUCAUUCAAAUGAUUCAGUUGGACUCGAGUUGCUAAAUCUCUAUUUUCUGAAGUAUCAUACUGUCUAUGUUUUCUAUGGAGAGGAAUCGGUCGACCUCUUGAAUUAUUUUGUAGAUUUUUAACAUUUUUGCUAAUGUGUUAUCAUCUUAUUUUUUAUUUCUGCCUUGGUUAAACUAAGCAGCUGCAGCUCUGAUGAAAACGUCUGCCUGCUGAAAUCACUAAAUAACAAUUCUUCUGCCCCUGAAGGAGGAAUGUUUGUGCAGCGAACGAAGGAAAAGGACGGUUGAAAUGCGUUUGUCGCAGACAUUGGACAACUGAUUUUCCUUCUGAAUAAUUCUGAAUGUUUCUGGUUGUGUUGGGUUUUGGAUCAGAAUGCUGUAAUAUCUGUUUUAUCAGUAACAUCUACCUCAGCGUCCACUCAUAACGGCAGAAGCUUUAAUACCUGAAUGACGUCGGUGUCCCUCCAUUAUCUCAUCAGACCUGGGUCGAGUUUUUUGAUGCCUCUCUUUAAAUGUCUGGUGCAACUAAAUAAACCCCAAAGCUCUGUAAGCUGCCAUUUAAUAACUUAAUGAAAGAUCACAACCACGUUAAUGAAGAGGAACGUAAACGGAGCCAAUAGGAAGCUGAAGCGUCCAGGGGAGCCUGUGGUCCAUUAGAAUCAGAAGCUCAUUAACUAUUUGUUUCCUUAUUUGUAAAAACACGUUCUUAGGAUUUUGUUCCAUGUUUGAAGACAUAUCACAAACCACCACAGCACAAGAUAGGACUAGUUGAGCCCGUGGUGAGUUCAGGAAAGGUAAUCACGGUUUAACUUCUGAAGAAGUGUGAGAAACAGUGACUGCUACAAACUGAAUUACUGGAUUAGAUAAUAAAAAACCCACUACUUCUCCCAACACAGUUGAAACAAGCUGCGCUCCAACGACGUGUUUUUAGCAAUGUUAGAAAUCUCAGUGGGAUCUUGAACGGGAAUCUCUUACUGGAGGUUCUGGUUUCACUUCGACUCAUCGGCCUUUUAUUAAGAAUACAGCAGAAUAACUUAGAGCCUGACCUGAGGUUUCCUUACACACGUUAUUCAUUUACAUUUGAAACUGUGUGAGGGACUAUUUCUGAGUUAAUUGUUGAUAUAAAGGGAGAUAAUGUGGUGCAGAGGGCAGGUGGUCAGCAUGUCUUUAAGAACCGCGACACAGCCGGUCUAACAUGAAGUGAUGGAGAGUGGGGAGAACACACACACACGAGUUUAACCCCUGUGUGUCCGGUACAUAAAAUUCAUCUUCUUCUUCAGGUUCUAGUCUGUAAAAGCUCGUAUCCACCAAACCCCCAGAAUAAACUCAGUUGGUCUUGGUGUAAAUCUGCUUUGAUCAGAUGUUAAACAGUCAAACGUGAGCUGUGACUGCGCACUAGCUGUGAUGAUUGAGACAUUCAGCAAAGUGUACGUGCAAUAAUAUGAAUUCUAAUCAUACCCAUGUUUUCCGAGUGCAGCAAAGUCCUGAGGACUUGCACAUAUUCAACCAUCACGUCACCACAUGUAACAUCCAUUUUCAUGCUUUGUUAUCAGCUGCACAGUUCAGUUCAGGUGUUUCACCAAUUGUCUCAUUUUCAUGCAAAAAGAAGAAAAAGCAAUAGAGUGAGUGAUUUUUGGGAGUUUCAGUGUGAAAGCCAAAUGCAUUUUGAUUUCUUUUCCUAUUUUUGUUUUAUUUGCAGUUAUUCUUUGUGCCAUGUUUAGUUUGACAAUCUUCAAUUGUGAUCUAUUUUUGAUAAAAUAAAUCUUCAUGUGUUUCAGACAACCGCACAUGCAGAUGAGUCAUUUUCUGUUUUGUGUGUGUGUUUUUUUUUUAUGUGUCAUAAACAUUUUCACAACACGGGAUGAGUGGAUUUAAAGUGCUAUGAUUUUAUGUUGUGGUGUGAUUCUGAAAUUAUCAGUAGAGAGAAAAUUAUAAAAUUAUAACUCAGAAUCUAUUUAAUGUGAAUAAAAACUGAGGAGCUGGAAAAUAAGUUUCAGAAAAUCUGGAAUCAACAGUUCAAAGUGUUAAAACUGUUAAAACUACUUUUUGUGGCAAAACAUUUGAUUAUUUAACAGUAGAUGUUAUACAGAGUGGUGUUGUAGGAAAAGUAAUAUUGAUGUGAAAAUCUGUGCACGGACUGACGAACACAGACUGAUAAAUGAUUUAUCAGAGCGUUCAAUAAAAACACAGUCAAACCUUCAGAAUAAAAGUGGUGGAGGGUUUGAUCGCUGUGAAGAUGUGUUGUAACAUUAGAAUAUAUACAUUAUACUUUAUAAUAUUAUAUAUAUAAUAUCAGAAUUUGUACACACAUACAGGAUCCAAUGGGAUGAGUACUGGUCAUUCAGAACAUAUAUUAUUAUCAUCAGACUGUUAUGAAGCUCACAACGUGUUUUUCUGUUUAAGACCUGUCAUCACAUCUCUAUGCACAGUUCAUAUGUCAUGACAACGAAGACCUGAACCUAUAGAGAGAUGCCAGAGAGGAACUGCAUCAAAUUCUUUCACCUCAUUAGAAAGUAUGUUGACAAUAAAUGUCUUUAUGGAUCAUGUCCUGUCCCCCAGGGCUGAAACCAAACCUAGAGCUGGCAGUUCUACAUCAAAACGAUGCAAAUGCUGAGUUUAUUCAUGCCUCAAGUGUUAUAAGAGUGGCCAUUUACUGCAGACAGAAAACCAGCAGACGUCAUUUAGAAACAUGCAGUAAUUACAGUUAUUCAUCAAUAAGCAAUAAUGCAUGAAAAGUACAGCACCUUCAAUAAAGGUGGUUUGUUUGUGUGUGUAAUACGUUAAUAGUGCCUUAAUCAUGUCCUGUUUGAGUUCCUAUUCAUGUCAAAUGCACCUGAAUUACUAUGGAAGAAGAAAGUGUAUAUUUGUAUUAGUACACGAUGGAACUGACUGAUCCCACAAAGAAAUAAUGUAUUGUAAUGAAUGUACUGAGUUAGCAGUGAGUUGAUGUUUUGAGAGCGAAAAAUAAAAAAACCUUUGACAAUGUUUUACAGAAGCUCAGAGCAGCUACUGGUGAUAGUUCGAAGCCUGUUCUCUUGUCAUUGAAGUAGUUUUAACACCAGCUUUCUGUGUAAAAAUGUAAAGAUCAUUUGUUAUCCAAAGAAAAUCUGAGAAGUUAGGAUCCUCAAUAAUUGAAGUUGUGACAUUGGGAUUAAAGUCCUAACACAUACGUGCCACCAUGUCCACUCUGAGCUUCUGCAGCUUAUUGUAUUGUUGGAAAGCACGUGACCGUUUCAGGGCAGUUUUACUUUUGCAGCUCAUGAGAAUGAAACUGUUCAUAACUUUCCUGCAUUUUUCCAUUUGCAAAUGAUAGAAAAUGCUCCUGUUGUAACCAGUGUCACUAUUUCAGUGUGGGUGUUAAGAUGUGAUUAAGAUUUUUACAAAAGUAAGUGAAAGUAAAUGUGAAUGAAAGUAUAAACCUUAAUUUCUAUGAACUGAAAUCGGAUCAUCCACAGGAAACAAACUGUGAAGGAGAAAUAAAAGUGUUAUUUUAGAUCCACAUUACCACUCCUAACAUAAUAAAACAAAUAAAAUAGACAAUAUAAUAAUUACUAAACAACAGAACAUAGACUGGAUUGUAGACUAAACAUGAUGUUAACACAUUUCUUGAUUUAUCUGAUAUCAGAUAUUUUGAAUGGAUUUGAGGGGCUGGUCCAUUAAAACAAACCAGAAACUUGUUCAGUAGCAAAUUAAACUACUUUAUUUCUUUUUUAAAACAGUGCUGUUGGAGGAGUGGAAAAAAUACAUUUAGGUAAUUAGUGGCAUGAGUGUAACUACAAAUCCAAUCUGUCUCGGUGUGUUUGAGGUCAGUCCCGUGUUUUCCACUGAACGUGUUCGUCUGUUUUCCUGCUUCUGCAAACAGCUGAUUCAACAGUGACAAAAAAAGUCUGAAGAACCUCAACUUGUGUCGUCGGUGUUGAAAAUCUCAAAUAAUAGAUUUUAUUUUUGUUAACUUGGAGUAUCUGUGUGUUCCACUGUGUGGCAGGUAUAAUGUUAAAUAACACAGAAUACAGAUCAAGUCCUUCAUAUUGUAACAUAUGUUUGACUUGGGAUCAUAUUUACUGGAUAUGCACAACAGAGUCAUUCUGAAUACUAGUUGUGACUAAGUUAAUGUGGCCUUUCUUUCUCCUUAAUGUACUGCAAUGUUUGUAUAAUAUGACAAUGUAUAUUAAAGUAUCAAGGCUUCAUGUUUCUACCACUUCUGUUUAUUAAAUCAAUAAACUGGGCUGGAUGACAUCACCUGUUUAUUACCUGCAGUAAUAUUAGUAUCAGCAGUAUUUCACUAAAGACACAGUUUCUUACAGGUGAAGAGUUUUAGCAGCUUCACUUGUGCUGGAGUCGGUGAAAAGAGGAACCAGGAAGUCGUAUCACAUUUUUAACUUCUUGACUCCUGUUUGCAGAGUCAUGUAGAUCCUGCAG